UGCAGAUUGGCAAUCCCUCAAUUCUGGGAGGCCUCAUCACCACUUAAAAAGGGACGGUCAACAUAAUCGUAUUGGCUGGCCCCCCUGCGGGAGAGGCAUGUCAUGCAGCAAAAUAAUUCUGCUGAUGCUGCUUGAAUCAUUUCCCCAAACAGAGUGAGCUGCAGCGACAGCCACCCUUCUUUGCCAGUGUACCGCCACGUACUACUUAAGCCUUUGCUAGCCAAGCCAUGUUGGUUCAGGCGGGGAAACAGACUGCCUGGAGGCUUCUCGGUAAUGCAGGCGUGCUGAAAGUUGGUGCCCCAGGGAGAGAAGGCAGAGCUGGACAAAACGUGGACCCUUUUUGCCACGCGAGUCAGGGAUGUCGGGUUCAUCCUGAAGAAAUGGCCAGAUUCCCCAGGUUUGGCUGUCAGUUCGGCUCUGCGUCCGUCGCUUCACAGUGUGCCUCCCGCCGAGGGCAGCGGUGGGGGAAGACAGAAGCCGGAAGCCCCAUCUGUACACUGCUUUUCUGCUGGUUGAGAAAAAGAUUACAGCAUUUUGAGGGGGAAGGGAGCAGUUUUCCUCUGCAACAAUUAUAAUAUAAUUCAGUGGGGCACACAGAAAGUAAAACGUUCCCGGUUCCAGUUCCAAGAAGCGUAGCUGUGACGGCCACGUCUUUCAUUUCUCAAAGGAGCAGGGGCGAGCUGCCCCUCCUCGCGGAUUUGCACAGUGAUCGUAGUAUGACACGCAACGCAUCCAUCUCUCCUGUGAACUAUGUAAAACCAUCUCUUCCUCGCUAACAAAUACCCGUUUUUUUCAACGCAUAAGUGAAAACAAAACAACAACAACGAGAGGAACUGAAAUGUGGAUGCAAUUACAUCUUUUUAAAGCUAUUAGUUCUAGCUGAGAGCUUGUCAAGCUUGGAACCAAAACUGGCUAUAGCUUUUUUUCAGUAAUACUAUGAACGCCGGGGUUGUGCAGCCUCACAGAGAAACCAGCUCUGUAAAGCAUCUCUAGUACUCGAAGCGCAACUCAGUAACAAGUCCAUCGUGGUAACGAGUUUCAGGACCCAGCAAAACAGCAGGGUCCCUGUGCCCGUCCUGGGAGCUGCCUGCGCGCCCAGGGGUGACCCUGAAGCUGUCUCCUGUGGUGCAGACAGACAUGAGCCUGGGAGUUAGCUGGAAGUGUGAUUCGCCCCCCCAGCUCUACCACAGGCUGCGAACUUCACACGGAGGGCGCCAAGAGGCGGCAGGGGAUUUGCUCCUUCUCCUUCACUUCAAUAUUAAGCGAGGCUUUGGCCAGUGUGUAGCAUGCCUUGUUUCUGCUCCAGGGGCAGCAGUCCUUUAAACCAUAAAGUGCCUUACAUGAGCCUGUGCAUGAGAGUGAGUUUUGCCCUACGGUGCAUUCAAGUACUAUUAUGAAUCAUAUUUGAGAGUAAUAAAUGGUAUUGUGUAUAGGUCUACA
rnacentral:lncRNA from 1 species